rnacentral:rRNA from 1 species
UACGUAGGCGGAAAAUUAAGUCAGUAGUGAAAUCCUGCAGCUUAACUGUAGAACUGUUAUUGAUACUGGUUUUCUUGAAUAUAGUUGAGGUAGGCGGAAUGUGUAAUGUAGCGGUGAAAUGCUUAGAUAUUACACAGAACACCGAUUGCGAAGGCAGCUUACUAAGCUAUGAUUGACGCUGAGGUACGAAAGCGUGGGGAGCGAACAGGAUUAGAUAACCUGGUAGUCC